UGGGGAAUUUUGGACAAUGGGGGAAACCCUGAUCCAGCCAUCCCGCGUGUUCGUUGAAGGCCUUCGGGUUGUAAAGCACUUUUUGCAGGAAAGAAACGUCAUGGGUUAAUACCCCGUGAAACUGACGGUACCUGCCGAAUAAGCACCGGCUAACUACGUGCCAGCAGCCGCGGUAAUACGUAGGGUGCAAGCGUUAAUCGUAAUUACUGGGCGUAAAGCGUGCGCAGGCGGUUCGGAAAGAAAGAUGUGAAAUCCCAGAGCUCAACUUGGGAACGGCAUUGGUAACGACAGGGCUAGAGUGGGUAAGAGGGAGGUGGAAUUCCGCGUGUAGCAGUGAAAUGCGUAGAUAUGCGGAGGAACACCGAUGGCGAAGGCAGCCGCCUGGGAUAACACUGACGCUCAUGCAAGAAAGCGUGGGGAGCAAACAGG
rnacentral:rRNA from 1 species